CCGGCGCGAGCCGGGGUAAUAGGAAACCGGGUGAGAAUCCCGGGCGAUCCGGUCACUGUAUUCGGAGAGCGAAGCCGCACAUGCCAUUGCGAGAGCGAGAAGGCGCGGCCCAGCGAGGAUCCGUAAGCCAGGAAGCCUGCUUGGGGGGAA
rnacentral:ncRNA from 1 species